UUGCAUCGAUGAAGAACGCAGCGAAAUGCGAUACGUAGUGUGAAUUGCAGAAUUCCGUGAACCAUCGAAUCUUUGAACGCAUAUUGCGCUCGAGCCCUCGGGCAAGAGCAUGUCUGCCUCAGCGUCG
rnacentral:rRNA from 1 species